AAUCUCGCUCACGUUCCAAGCACCGUUCAGGCCAUCGAGACACCCAUUCUCGCUCACAUUCCAAAUACCGUUCGAGUCGUCAGCAUACCCGUUCAAGUCGUCGAGAUCGCUCUAAGUCGAAGCUAGUUGACACUGAAUCGAAAUCCAAGCCCAAGGCUGAAACUCUUCCAGCUGGAGUGGAGCUCACCAGAGCAAAUUCAUGCAAUUAUCGAAAUCCGUUGAGAACAUUGAAGCUACUGUGGUUACAUUGACUGGCGUUGCUUCGGACCUGAACGAAAUCAUCAAGACGAAAUUUGUUGGAAAAAUUAACGCGGCCGUAGAAGCUUUGACUGGCGUUGCUUUGAACCUAAACACGAUCAUCCAGAGUCAUGGUAAAGACGAAUCUAA